rnacentral:tRNA from 1 species
GGGGUUGUAGCUCAGUUGGGAGAGCGACAGGUUCGCAAUCUGUAGGUCGAGGGUUCGAUCCCCUUCAGCUCCACCA